rnacentral:rRNA from 1 species
UCGAGCGGUAACAGGGGUAGCUUGCUACCCGCUGACGAGCGGCGGACGGGUGAGUAACGCGUGAGAAUCUGCCCAUCAGUGGGGGAUAACCCGGGGAAACUCGGGCUAAUACCGCAUACGUCCUACGGGACAAAGCAGGGGACCUUUUGGCCUUGCGCUGAUGGAUGAGCUCGCGUCGGAUUAGCUUGUUGGUGAGGUAAAGGCUCACCAAGGCGACGAUCCGUAGCUGGUCUGAGAGGAUGAUCAGCCACACCGGGACUGAGACACGGCCCGGACUCCUACGGGAGGCAGCAGUGGGGAAUCUUGGACAAUGGGGGCAACCCUGAUCCAGCCAUGCCGCGUGUGUGAAGAAGGCCUUCGGGUUGUAAAGCACUUUCAGUAGGGAGGAAGGCUUCCGGUUAAUACCCGGGAGUACUUGACGUUACCUACAGAAGAAGCACCGGCUAAUUUCGUGCCAGCAGCCGCGGUAAUACGAAAGGUGCAAGCGUUAAUCGGAAUUACUGGGCGUAAAGCGCGCGUAGGCGGUGUGUUAAGUCGGAUGUGAAAGCCCAGGGCUCAACCUUGGAAUUGCAUCCGAUACUGGCACGCUAGAGUGCAGUAGAGGGAGGUGGAAUUUCCGGUGUAGCGGUGAAAUGCGUAGAGAUCGGAAGGAACACCAGUGGCGAAGGCGGCCUCCUGGACUGACACUGACGCUGAGGUGCGA